CUUUGGCCCUCUGAUCGAAAUCCUGCCCAUGGAUAAUGCGCAUCUGUUUAAGGAAAGUAGACUUGCCGCUCUCGCCUGCUCCAACUGCUCUGCCUCUCCGCUAGUGAGGAGACAGUUUGGGAAACAAACAGAUAAAACAGAGCGGGACGGCAGGAAGUCCGCCAUCUUUGAAACAACUUCAUCGAUGCACACAACGAGGAAGACUGAGCUCAGCGAAGCUGCUGCCACUGAUGCAUUCACAGCUAUCGGAAUCCCCACUUUCAAUGACAAUGCUUCAGUGUAACUAGGAUUUUUAUUGCCGCUUAGGCUUUGGACUUCUUGGGUCUAUUUUUACUUCCAUAUAAAAUACACAAAAAUAAAGUCAUAUGACAAAAAU